rnacentral:misc_RNA from 1 species
CCGCUUCUGAGCUCAUUUUAUAAGCUCUCCAUUUCUUCUUCGACAAUCUAGAGGCUAGAGCUAGCAGUUUCGCCCUCCAUUCUCUGCUAUCUCGGACUUUGUUUUCUAAAUCAUUUUGCUGCAAUUGUUCUUCUCGAGCAAGCUCUGUGUGAAUAUCUCUAAUAGUUCUAGGAACUUUGUCAAGUGUACUGGUACUGGAAGCGAGAAUGCAGGCUUGCACUGGAGCUGCAGUGAUAGGUUCUUUACAACAACCCAUUGAGGCCACGGGAUCAGCCGUCCCUCCAAUAAGCUUCAAUAUAACUGGGUUUCCGCAUCAGAUUAAGCUUAAUUCGUUGAAGCCCUGUAGAUAUUCCAGUGUUGAAGGGAACUUGGUCACUGGGAAGCCACCCUUUUAUGUGUCUGUCCCUGUGACUGAAAGUGCAGGUGACAGAAGCAGCUUUAUAGACUAUGGCCUUAGUGAAGCGGAUCCUAAGGUGUGUGAAGUUGUUAACAAGGAAAAGGAUAGGCAGUUCAAAAGCCUUGUGCUUAUUGCCUCUGAGAAUUUUACAUCCCGAGCAGUGAUGGAAGCAGUUGGAUCAUGCCUCACAAACAAGUACUCUGUAGGACUGCCUGGUAAAAGAUACUAUGGUGGAAAUGAAUACAUUGAUGAGCUUGAAAACCUUUGUAAAGAAAGGGCUUUGGCUGCAUUCCACCUACAUGGAAAGAAGUGGGGGUUAAUGUCCAACCAAUGUCCGGUUCUCCUGCUAAUUUUGAGGUUUAUACUGCACUUCUUAAACCACAUGACAGGAUAAUGGUAAAAUGUUUUCUUCUUACUCUCUUCAUUCAAUUUCAUUAUUAAUGUGGUGGUUUCAGAACGCUGAAAUCCUCAGGUUUUACUUGAGCUAACUUAGGGUUUGGACUUACCUCAUGGAGGACACUUGUCUCACGGGUUCAUGAACCCUAAAAGACGGCUAUCUGGAACAUCAAUUUAUUUUGAGUCUAUGCCAUAUCGACUUGAUGAAUCUACAGGCCUGGUUGAUUAUUAUGUGCUUGAGAAAACAGCUAAUCUCUUCCAACCCAAGCUAAUUAUUGCUGGAGCCUGUGCUUAUCCUCGAGAUUUUGAUUAUCCUCGCAUGAGGAAGAUUGCAGAUGCUGUUGGUGCUUUCCUCAUGAUGGACAUGGCUCACAUAAGUGGACUUGUUGCUGCUUCUGUAGUUGCUGAUCCCUUUGAGCAUUGUGAUAUUGUGACAACAACUACCCACAAGUCUCUACGGGGUCCUAGAGGUGGCAUGAUCUUCUUCAGAAAGGGUCCUGUUCUUGGAGUUGAUUUGGAAUCAGCCAUCAACAAUGCUGUUUUUCCAGGCCUACAGGGUGGUCCUCAUAACCAUACAAUUGGGGGCCUGGCUGUUUGCUUGAAGCAUGCACAAUCCCGUGAAGUUAAACAUUAUCAGAAGCAGGUCAUCUCAAACUGUAGAGCUCUUGCAAACCUAUUGGUUGAAGUAGGAUAUAUGGAAGUGAUAAUCACCUGGUUCUUGUAGACUUGAGACCACUGGUAAGUUUCCUGCUUCUUCCUUGUACAUAGGCUUACUAUUGAAUUAGUAUAGUUUAUGCCACAGCAUGCUGUGUCAUAGGAACCUAUCCAAUUUUCAAAAGAAUCCUUACUGCAGACAUGAUCCAGCAGUGUAUUUAGAUUUACUCAGAUAUUAUAUUGGUACAAACUUUUCCCUAUGUGCAUUGAAUGUUCUAAGACGGUUCUUCUCAAUAUUAUAGACUUGAUUACUAUUUUCAACUUUUAGCAAUGAUAUCAUGGUACAAAGUGUUCUAUGAAUCAUAUUUUGGGAGCAGUAAAUUCUUCCAUAUGCUUGAUAGCAAUCAACAACCUCUAUCAACAGGGAAUAGAUGGAGCUCGGGUAGAGAAAAUUCUUGACCUGGCAUCUAUUACCCUCAACAAGAAUUCAGUGCCCAAUGAGCUUCAUUCUCUGCCCAUUUAUUUUGUUCUGUUUCAUUUCCCUCUCUCUUGUAAACAUCCCCAUGGUAUCUGUAGGAGAUAAGAGUGCCCUAGUUCCAGGUGGCAUUCGCAUUGGAUCACCUGCUAUGACUACCAGAGGAUUCACAGAGAAAGAAUUUGUAGCGACUGCUGAUUAUAUUCAUGAGGGUGUGCAAAUAACAUUUGAAGCUAAGAAAUCAGUGUCAGGAUCAAAGCUUCAAGAUUUCUUGAAAUUUGUUGCAUCCCCUGAUUUCUCUUUGAAGGAUAGAGUGUCAGAUCUCCAGACAAAAGUUGAAGCUCUUACAACUCAAUUCCCAAUACCUGGUGUAUGAGCAUCAUGGCCGGACUGGACUAUAUAGGUUGCUGUUAUGAUGCAUGCAGUGUGAUUUACUAUGUUAUGUUUAAGCUUAUAGUCUACAAAUUCUACCGAUAACACAAAGGAGAGUAAAAAGCAUUCUAGUCGCACCACUCGUUGUUUAAGGAAUGAUGCGAAAGGGUAACAAUAUUACAUUAAGUUUUGAUAGCAUGCUCUUUUUCUUAAGAUUCUUAACUGAUUUUUUUUUUCUUUUUAAUCUGGGAUAAGGCAAUGCAGUUCUUGUUAGAUUCAUUUAAGUCGAAUGAGUAAUCAUUGUUUCAAAUUCUCAUGCAGAGUUACAACAGCAUCUACCCCAAAGACAAAGUUGUUUGUUGGCUUUGAUUCUGCAGACCUAACCCCCAUAAGGUCAUGAGGGGCAGGUUUCUACUAUUACACAACCAUUUUAGCGUCCACCCUCCAGGGCAAGGAAUACCUCGUGUAUCGUAUCAAAAUGUUCCUAUCCAGCUUGAUCUUUGCCUCUGCUGCAAAUUGUUCAGCCUCAAAUGUCCUAAGGAGACUGACAAGUACAAAGCAAAUAUCAUGGGAUACAAUCCAAUUUCCCUGAUUGAAAAUGUCAUUGAGAAAUUUAGCAAAGCACACCAAGAAUAAAAGUAUGUUUUAGGAGCAUAAACCAUUUAUCAUCUGAAGGCUUCUAAGGCAUCAACAUCAGAAAAUGCCGAUGACAGUUCCAUAUCAUAUUCUUGUAUCCAUCAGCAACUUGAGAUUGAAACAGAUCCUCUUUCAAAUAGUAUAUCCACUCAUUUCACAUUAUUCUUGUAAUUUUGUUUUUGAAGGAAAAAGAAUACCUUCGAUAUAUGAAAAGUCAUAUUCUCACAUUAGAAUAUCAACAUGAAUUUGAAUAAAAACAUAGCAUUCACAUAUGCUAUUCCCAUCACACGUUCUACGGUCACUGUUUCCACGAACUUAAGACAAAACACAUCUUGCAGAGAGGAAUCAACUCAAUCAAGUAUCCCUUUUAUUUGAGAACAUAGAAUCAGCCAAAAAAAAAAUGUUUUUCCCUUCCCAUGAGUCAAAAUUGUUUACAACCCAAAUUAGGUGUUAAGUUUCAGAGCUUUUCAAGCUAAACUGAUUCCAAAAGCAAAAUUUCUAAGCCAAGCUUCUUUAAAACAAAAUUGCAUUCUGCAUAAUUCAAGCAAAACCAUUUUAGCUACCAUCUGAUAGAACUUAACUUAUAGCCAAUUUGGUUAUAUAAGAUGAAUAAUUAUAGAAUUUAGCUGCUCAAAAUUUGAAGAAAGCAAUGAUUGCUCCUCCAAUCGUGAAGAGUAGCUCUUUCUAGGCACCAUGCAAAAGGUGAAUUGGCAUUAGAUUAAAUCAAACACCCGUGUCUGAGUGAGUGCCAUCUUACAAAGCAAAAAGGCUAUAUAAUCAAGUUGUAUAAAGGAUUUGCAAGUUAAUACACACAGGAGCAGAUCGAAUCAUAAACCAUUAACAAAGGAAAAAAAAAUAAAGUAUAGCCGGAUUAUUGUGACAUGAAACAACAGUGAGUUUCAAGAAUCUUCAUCCGGCCAAGAAAAUUCAAUAUUGGCUCUAUGCGGCAGACGGGUCACCAUGAAUUGGUGCCUGCUGUUGACUCAGGUUCAGAGCCAUUAACAAACAAAACCAGAUUGCAAGUUAGAUACACCUGAAAGUUAUUCUCUGAAAACUUUGGAAACCCUCAAUAGAAAAAAGAGCUAAAUUCCACUUCUUUUGAAGUAUCUAGAGAUUAUACGCCUGCAAACUACAGAGUUCCUACCAAACAGAGUUACUUAGAGGCAUUGAAAUAACAGG